rnacentral:lncRNA from 1 species
GGGAAACUUUUUUAUUUUUGUGUGAUAUCUGCCGCAUAAUAAAGAGAGUCCAAGGCUAAUUGGACUCUUAUCUCCUACCCAAAUUCAAACUCCUCUUUGCCUAUUUAAAUAUGGUCUUAUGGGAUGGUUUUAAGAGCUGAUAGAGAUCAGGUUUGAUGCCAAAAAUCAGAGGGUUUUGUGCAUGGAAAAUCAAGGGAGAGAG